UACGGAGACAGCUGUCAAUCCUAAAUUUAGAUUAUAUGUUUAGAUAAAUGUUUAAAAGAUUUCCUCGCAUGUAUUUUCAGUUUCAAAAGGAUGGUACAACAUGUUAAGGCGACAACUUAUGACGCAUCGCAAUAUUUUGGCAGUCGCAUCAAACCAAGCGGCUGCAAUACAUGAUGGUGAUCUUUUGCGCAAAAUAUCAAAAGAAUUUCGGUGCAACUGCCAAAUUGAAAGGCGGAUUGGACGCGAUUCGAUUAAACGUUAUCCACCAGCUGGAAAUUAAAAGUUGAAUUUAUUCCACCAUCAUAACCAUUCCAUACAUUCCAUGAAAACAACUCCAAGAGUCGUGAAAAACCUGAUCUUUUUGUGUUUGUACAAUAUAUGGUAAUUUUAUACAAUAUAAAGUUGUAAUAGUCUUUCUCGAUUGGUAUAACAAUUUGGUCUAAAAAGCAUUGACACAAGAUAACCUAAUCAAUACAUGGAAAUGCAUAGGUAGCCGAAAUGUAAACGGUCCAAUAUUGCCUAACUUAAACGUGUAAAAAAUGAAAGACCAACUGAAGCGUUAACACUGUAGUGACGGCCCUAAUGACUGCAAAAGUCAUCAUUCAAUUUAUCCAGAUGUGAUACAUUGAAGAAAAGUUUUACGUCUAAUCUAACAAGUCCCUGUUGGUAGUUAUGAAUUUGUAAUUUAGUAGAGACCGAAAGACAUAAGAACAAAUUUACAAUACUUGCAAAUACAUUAACAUAAACGGUAGUUUCCAUUAUAAAUUAUAAAUUAAUGGCAGGUCAAAAGUUGAUCACCAACUCAAUGGAUGGCUAUAUCACAGUUAAUAUUGCUACUUAUUUUAAAGUUUGUGUAAAAAUCACGGAUAAAUAUCAUUAUUUCUAUACAUUUUGUAGGGAUGUAAGAUAACAAUUCUGUAGAAAAGUGCUGGGAAUAAAUCAAAUAAUUAA